GGAUCAGAGAACGGGAAGGAGAGGGGAAGGGAGAGCGCUGCUGGUUGUGACCACAGCCACCGUCGCCGCUGACCUUUAGGGGAAAACGAGAGUGAGAGAGAGACACGCAGAACGCGCGACACGAGGAAGAGAAGGAGCUCGUCUUCGUUGCUGCCGUCGCCGCGCCAUGCCGCCGCUGCCGUUCCUUGCAGCUACUGCCGGUGGAAGUAACCAAACAAGGAUAGGAGGUCGCUGUUGAUGCUGCCGCAGAGAGGAAGGAAGGGACGCGUGUGAGAAAGUGACGCAACAGAGGAGGAGCCGUUCCUCUGCCGCCGCCGGAAUUCCUGGUCGUCUCCGCCGUCGUUCAUGAAGAAAAUUGAGAAUCAAGGAAAGCAUCUUUGUUUAGUAGUAUAUGGCUCGCUGCCACCAGAAACUCGAACAAGGCAGGACUUCAGGCAAGCAUGUUCAAUGAUGCAACAAGUGAGUUUGAUGUUCUAGUGGCCAGUGAUGCCAUCGGAAUGGGUCUUAAUUUAUACAUAUCUAGGAUCAUAUUUCCAACGUUGAAGAAGUUUGAUGGUUUUAAAUUUUGGGACUUGACUGUAUCUGAAAUAAAACAGAGUGCAGGGAGAGUUGGUAGAUAUGGGUCAAAUUUUUCUGUUGGAGAAGUAACAUGCAUGGAUGCAGAGGAUCUACCCUUACUUAAUUCAUCUUUAAACUCCCGAUCACCCACUUUAAAGGAAAACCAUGUUGAAGGGGAAAAUGAACUUAAUUAAGGUCACAAAUUUUGAAGAGCAAAUGUUAGCUAGUAAAAGUCAUGAACUUGUAGCAUGAUGACGAUAAACCUACUUGUUACUUAGCUAUUUCAACUCUCUUUUGUUAUUGUAUUUUUCGCAAAAUUAGUUGAUAUAGUUUGAGGUUGUUAUGACUUAGGCUAGUACUGUAGUAUUUUUUAAAACGAUGAUGAUAAUUAAAAGUAGUUACGACUUAGACUAGUA